AGUCUGUCUGGGCUUCCGCUAAGAUCAAGGGUCAGAUCUUAUCACUUUAACACCUGGCACAUCCUCCAUCCGAGGGCAAUGUAGUAAAUGGAUUUUUGCAGCUGGGUGAUGAAAUAGGAGCUUGUUCUGUCCACUCUACACAUGGACCUGGUAUUGCAGUAGCUCCAGGAACGGUGCACCCACU
ensembl:snRNA U2 U2 spliceosomal RNA